rnacentral:piRNA from 1 species
CACGGGACCAACCCUUUGAGUGUCUGC